rnacentral:tmRNA from 1 species
CUAUUGUCCGGAGUUCUCUAUUCGUGUUAUUAUAGGCCUUGUCGCUUUGUUUUUUUUUCGGAGUGACUAUGGUGAUAAAUGGGUCACGGAAUAGGCUUUAUGGACCAGGGGGCGGUACCCUGCGCCUCCACCACCUUGUGUUUUUUUAUCAUUGCGGGGGCGAAAUAGGUUCGACAUGUUGCAGUAAAGGCGAUUUUUUCACUCGGUAUUGUACCACCGUUAUCGGGCUUUUUUUAAUAAAUGCCAAACUAUUUGCGUUAGGCAGAUGUUCCAGAGUCCGCAUCCGUAACAGGAACAGGCGGUCUCGUGUCAAAAAGGCCGCUUAGACACCCGUAUGGGGUUUGAGUAUCCUUUUAGUCAUACCGGUCUCGAAUAGAGGUCGGUAGGAACUGCGGUCCGGGGGAAACCGAGCAACAGAAUUCCCCCGCU